rnacentral:rRNA from 1 species
CAAGUCGAACGCGAAAGUGGAGCAAUCCAUGAGUAGAGUGGCGAACGGGUGAGUAACACGUGGGUGACCUGCCUUCGAGUGGGGGAUAACAUCCCGAAAGGGGUGCUAAUACCGCAUGACAUCCUGCCUUUGAACAGGCGGACAUUAAAGCCGGGGAUCGCAAGACCUGGCGCUCGAAGAGGGGCCCGCGCCCGAUUAGCUAGUUGGUGAGGUAACGGCCCACCAAGGCUACGAUCGGUAUCCGGCCUGAGAGGGCGGACGGACACACUGGGACUGAGACACGGCCCAGACUCCUACGGGAGGCAGCAGUGGGGAAUUGUUCGCAAUGGGCGAAAGCCUGACGACGCAACGCCGCGUGGAGGAUGAAGACUUUCGGGUCGUAAACUCCUUUCGAUCGGGACGAAUGAUCGGUGACCUAACACGUCAUCGGAAUGACGGUACCGAGAGAAGAAGCCCCGGCUAACUCCGUGCCAGCAGCCGCGGUAAUACGGGGGGGGCAAGCGUUGUUCGGAAUUACUGGGCGUAAAGGGCGCGUAGGCGGCCAUCUAAGUCGGACGUGAAAUCCCUCGGCUUAACCGAGGAACUGCGUCCGAUACUGGAAGGCUUGAAUCCGGGAGAGGGAUGUGGAAUUCCAGGUGUAGCGGUGAAAUGCGUAGAUAUCUGGAGGAACACCGGUGGCGAAGGCGGCAUCCUGGACCGGCAUUGACGCUGAGGCGCGAAAGCUAGGGGAGCAAACGGAAUUAGAUACCCCGGUAGUCCUAGCCCUAAACGAUGAGUGCUUGGUGUGGCGGGUAUCGAUCCCUGCCGUGCCGAAGCUAACGCAUUAAGCACUCCGCCUGGGGAGUAC